GUAUUUUAUUUAUUUCUAAAUGAAGUUAUUUGAUUUAGUUUAGCUUAGUUAAUUUUUGUCUGUUUUAGUUUAGAGCCUUCAGUUUAGCUGGAAAAAACAUCCCUUGCAGCCUGACAAAGGAAAGGCAGGGCAGGAGCGGUGCCGUGCCAGAAAGGGCCAGGGAAGAGCUGACAAGGGGUGGUGCUCAAUGCUACAGAGGACAGCAGCAAGUCCCGGGGCCACGCUGGGGCCACCCUGAGAGUGC